UCAAAUCACCGGUUCUCGUUCGAUCACCGAAGUUAAGCAUCGUAGAGCCAGGUCAGUACUAAGAUGGGGGACCGCUUGGGAACACCUGGUACUGUAAG
rnacentral:rRNA from 1 species